CAGUGAAAAGCCAAAAAGAGGCAUUUAACUGUUAAUUAAAAUAUUGUAAUUUUUUACUUCACUGG
rnacentral:tRNA from 1 species